rnacentral:misc_RNA from 1 species
GAUGAAGAACGCAGCGAAAUGCGAUAAGUAAUGUGAAUUGCAGAAUUCAGUGAAUCAUCGAAUCUUUGAACGCACAUUGCGCCCCUUGGUAUUCCGGGGGGCAUGCCUGUUCGAGCGUCAUUACAACCCUCAAGCUCUGCUUGGUCUUGGGCGUCACCGGUCCCCGGUGUGCCUUAAAAUCAGUGGCGGCGCCAUCUGGCUCUAAGCGUAGUACAUACUCUCGCUACAGACGUCCGGUGGAUGCUGGCCAGCAACCCCCAAUUUAUCAAGGUUGACCUCGGAUCAGGUAGGGAUACCCGCUGAACUUAAGCAUAUCAAUAAGAGGAGGA